rnacentral:miRNA from 2 species
UGUUGUUGUUUUUCUUUUUC